AACCUCUCAGGGUUGCACCUGAAGAGUUUCCAGUACUCUAUCAGUCUUGGCUACAAAAGGGAGAGUCAAGCAGAGGCAUACCCGUCCAUUCCUAGCUUGGCCAGUGGCUAGUGAGCGGAAGGCAAUCUGCUACAAGU